rnacentral:misc_RNA from 1 species
GAUGAAGAACGUAGCGAAAUGCGAUAAGUAAUGCGAAUUGCAGAAUUCAGUGAAUCAUCGAAUCUUUGAACGCACAUUGCGCCCGGUAGUAUUCUGCCGGGCAUGCCUGUUCGAGCGUCAUUUCAACCAUCAAGCCCCAGCGCUUGUGUUGGGGGCCUGCGGCUGCCGCAGCCCCCUAAAAGCAGUGGCGGGCUCGCUAUCACACCGAGUGCAGUAGUUCAUCUUCUCUCCGGUCUUGUGAGGCGGGUUCCGGCCGUGAAACACCCCACUACAUUCAAGGUUGACCUCGGAUCAGGUAGGAAUACCCGCUGAACUUAAGCAUAUCAAUAAGCGGAGGA